UCAUAGUAGGACUUUUCCCACAGAUAUGAAUGACGACUUCCCAUAAAGAUACAGAUACCUAAUCUGUUGUGUGUCAGUCUGUCAGUCUGUUUGUGCAUGUGCAUCUGUCUGUGUGUCUGCGUGUCUGUCUAUGCAUGUAUUUAGUUAAAUAGGCGGCAAACUUCAGCCUCUGAACUUGCGUCUUGCCUUCUCUGCUGCUGUCCUCUUCUGUGGCCAUUCCUUAGCCUAGGAUCUCCUCUCACAGCUACUCUGCUCCCAAACACUGCACCUGUAUCCUGGUGAGGAGGAGCCGCCUUCAGGAUCUCCUCUCACAGCUACUCUGCUCCCAAACACUGCACCUGUAUCCUGGUGAGGAGGAGCCGCCUUCAGGAUCUCCUCUCACAGCUACUCUGCUCCCAAACACUGCACCUGUAUCCUGGUGAGGAGGAGCCGCCUUCAGGAUCUCCUCUCACAGCUACUCUGCUCCCAAACACUGCACCUGUAUCCUGGUGAGGAGGAGCCGCCUUCAGGAUCUCCUCUCACAGCUACUCUGCUCCCAAACACUGCACCUGUAUCCUGAGCCCAUUUUCUGAGAAGCGGAGCACUUUGUGCAGGAAUCCCCUUUAUAUCUGUGGCUAUGCUGAGACCAACGCAGCGACACAGCUGUGAGAAAAUGCUAGUGGUCAUUUGGCGAAAUUUCAUCACCACAUCGUGAAGAUUUUAACCACUGAAAACUGCUGGAAGGGUAUAAAGAAAUGCAGGUUUAAUAGAUAGUUGCUGAAAACCUGGAAGCUAUUUACAGAUCACUUUUGAAGAAAGCUAGUGUGAAACCUGUACGUCUAUUACAAUAAAAAUGGUGCCUAACUAAUGCCACCUGUGGCUUAAAUCAGUACUAAGAUUAAAUGCACAUGACGAUUACACAGUACACAGUCAGUGGGAAAGUGAGAAGAUUGCAUACUGCCCUCUGGUGGUUACUUGGUGCAUUUGUAUAAAAUUGAGAACAUGACUGAUUCUCUGAAAGAAAAAAAAAUCAGUGCUGUGAUAGAGAUUCCUGUGAACAAUGAAACCCACCUUCGUCAUGCCCCCGCUAUUAAUGUCAUGUUUGCCUCUUAACCCAGACAGCUGAACUCAGCGGCUAAAGUGUAGCCCCUCCAGCCGGCGCGUCUCACUGGGUAGUGGGACAUGUCGGGGGAAGGAAGCUUGCUAAGUAGCCGCAAAAUGCACUGCCCGGUCUGGAGCCCUCCCUUACUGGCCCAGCAGGCCGCCAGUCUGGAGCCCUCCCUUACUGGCCCAGCAGGCCGCCGGUCUGGAGCCCUCCCUUACUGGCUUAGACGUCGGCUUGCUCACUAGGGACUUUGGGAAGGGAUAAUG